rnacentral:misc_RNA from 1 species
GGAAAGUCGUAACAAGGUCCCCGUUGGUGAACCAGCGGAGGGAUCAUUACAGAGUUGCAAAACUCCCAAACCAUUGUGAACGUUACCUAUCCCGUUGCUUCGGCGGGCGGCCCGGGCCCCGCGCCCGGCGCCCCCCGGCCCCCCGUGGGCGCCCGCCGGAGGUAAACCAAACCCUUGAAUUGCAUGGCCUCUCUGAGUCUUCUGUACUGAAUAAGUCAAAACUUUCAACAACGGAUCUCUUGGUUCUG